UUGGAAAUUAAACUUUUAAUCUAGGGGGGAGACAAUAAAAUGCGUAGCUGUGGGAAAGUGGUGUGAGUUCUUUGUGAACACUUGGUCUCAGAAAAUAAGCGGAAUAAACUACAACUAUGAUAAGAUUGUUGCAGUCUUGCGUUUCUGGAGAAUAACUUCUUACUGUGGAAACAAUGUUUUAAUGAGUGAAUAUGGCUGUUCACGUCUAUACAUUGAUCCAAUCUUUUAUGAACUUGACAUUCCAAGUUAUCUGCGAUCAUUCGACGAUGGAUCAAGUGACGAAGAGGAUGUGAUGAUGGAGAUGGUUGA